CCCGGGCACGAAGGAGCGACUGCGUUUGCGCAGUGCCGCGCGCUGAAAGCACGCCCGCGGUGCCACCUGUCCGCGGUCCCGGGUCCCCGAGGCGGAGGACUGUCCUACCCGGUGGCCGAAGCCGGGCCCUCCCCGCGCGCCCACCACCCGCCGCGGCUGCGGACGGUGAAGACACGGAGGCAAGAGGAAGAGGUUGCUCCGCGGGCCGCCGAGCAGGUGCCUUGUGCCUGGAGAGUGCCAGGCCCUGUCUGCUGAGCGCGUGGACGCAGGAGGAAGGAGCCGGCGCUCUCUGGUCCCCCUCC